UGCAACAGACUUCCUGCCCUAUUUUCGCCUUGCUGAACAACACUAAACAAUGUAAAAGUACAACUCUAACAUAACUUAAUGACAACUGAAAUUGAAGAGUUCUGCAUUUACCAGAAUCUGAAGUGCCAUGGAUUGUGUCGCCAAACAUCACAUUGUACCCAGUCUCGGACUGGGAAUUUGGAAUCUCACCAGUAAGGCUCAUCUGCUAAAUGGCUUUUUUCCAGACAACCUGGCUUUGGAGUGGUUUUAGGACAAAUCACCACUGAGUCAAAACAGGAAGCCAAGCAGAACGAAGCUAGAAAGUGAAGGGUCAGAGCAGAAAACCUUCAGCCUGAGCAGCAAACUCUCAGUGUGGGGACAAGGAUCAACUUUUACCUGCAAAGCUAAUCACAAUUAUACUGAAUAUAAGAAGACAAUGAGCAUUUGUCACAAAAUUCACCUGUCAUUCAUGUGGAGAUUCCCAAGUUUAAGACUUUAGCGUCAGACUCUAAUGUGCAAGAAACAUGUUGGGUCCACACUAAUUUUGAUGCCAUGAUCUCCUGGCUGAUUAAUGGAGCGCCACAAACAGCUAAUAAGAGUAAAACACAACUCUUAUUAUAAGUUAAAAAAAAAUUUGAGUUGGUGGAAGCAAGUAAAGCAUUUAACAUGCAGAGGAGAGCAAACGUGUGUCACAUCUGCUGAGAAGACUAUAAAUAUUGCAGGUAAGAUGAUAUUAAGAUUACAGGAAAUUCAGGCAUCUUAUGACCAAAGAGGACCUAAAUAAUAUUUUUGCUUUUUUUUUUUAAUUGUCCUCCAGUUCAAACUCCAUAGAAAUCAGGAUCUUGCCCAGAUCUGCUGAAGGGAAAAACUGUCCUCAUGUGACCUCUACAUCACCUUACAAGUCAAUGGUGAUUAAAGUAAAAAAAAAAAAAAAAAAAAAAGAUUUUCCUGAAGGCUGAAGGCGCUGGCCUCCUUUUAAUCAGUAGUUAAUUCACAGUCCCUCAGAUGUACUGGAAAAAAGACAGAAAGUUUACCUGCAAAGUCAAUAAGUUUAUAGUCAAACUCUACCAGCUAUAUUUUUGGUAACAAGCUACUCUUGCUUCCCUUUUAGGCAGCUGAUUUAACUUUGUUGAUUUAUACUUUAAUAGUUUCUGUUAAAUAGAUUAAUUGAUGCCCUGAUUUGUUUCACUUUAGUGGA